GACGAACGCUGGCGGCGUGCCUAAUACAUGCAAGUAGAACGCUGAAGGAGGAGCUUGCUCUUCUGGAUGAGUUGCGAACGGGUGAGUAACGCGUAGGUAACCUGCCUGGUAGCGGGGGAUAACUAUUGGAAACGAUAGCUAAUACCGCAUAACAGUAGAUGUUGCAUGACAUUUGCUUAAAAGGUGCAAUUGCACCACUACCAGAUGGACCUGCGUUGUAUUAGCUAGUUGGUGGGGUAACGGCUCACCAAGGCGACGGUACAUAGCCGACCUGAGAGGGUGAUCGGCCACACUGGGACUGAGACACGGCCCAGAAUCCUACGGGAAGGAGCAGUAGGGAAACUUCGGCAAUGGACGGAAGUCUGACCGAGCAACGCCGCGGGAGUGAAGAAGGGUUUCGGGUCGGAAAGCUCUGUUGUAAGAGAAGAAAGAGGGUGAGAGUGGAAAGUUCACACUGUGACGGUAUCUUACCAGAAAGGGACGGCUAACUACGUG
rnacentral:rRNA from 1 species